AGUGAACGCUGGCGGUAGGCCUAACACAUGCAAGUCGAACGGCAGCACAGUAAGAGCUUGCUCUUACGGGUGGCGAGUGGCGGACGGGUGAGGAAUACAUCGGAAUCUACUUUUUCGUGGGGGAUAACGUAGGGAAACUUACGCUAAUACCGCAUACGACCUACGGGUGAAAGCAGGGGAUCUUCGGACCUUGCGCGAUUGAAUGAGCCGAUGUCGGAUUAGCUAGUUGGCGGGGUAAAGGCCCACCAAGGCGACGAUCCGUAGCUGGUCUGAGAGGAUGAUCAGCCACACUGGAACUGAGACACGGUCCAGACUCCUACGGGAGGCAGCAGUGGGGAAUAUUGGACAACGGGCGCAAGCCUGAUCCAGCCAUACCGCGUGGGUGAAGAAGGCCUUCGGGUUGUAAAGCCCUUUUGUUGGGAAAGAGAAGCAGCAGGUUAAUACCCCGCUGUUCUGACGGUACCCAAAGAAUAAGCACCGGCUAACUUCGUG
rnacentral:rRNA from 1 species